GGCCGGCUAGCGUAAUGGUUAACGCGCCAGUUUCCGGUCCUUUGUGUCCUAGCUGGAGAUUCUGGGUUCGACUCCCAGGUUGGUCG
rfam:Neolentinus lepideus HHB14362 ss-1 unplaced genomic scaffold NEOLEscaffold_122, whole genome shotgun sequence.